UUUUUUUUUUUCCUGGAAACUCUGUACAAGUCUGUCUUGUUUUCUGUCACAUAUUGUGUUCCGACAAGUGUUCACAAACAGGAGUAAUGUUUGGCUGGUAAACUGGAUUUUAAAAGGAGCCUGCGUGAGGUUUGUAACAAGAUGUUAAUACCUCCCAAGAACGUCUGUCUCUCCCGUCAAGAGUCUGCACUGUUCAGACAACACAGGGUGAGCGUCCGGGGAGGACAGCCGUGUGGAAUGCUGGUGAAACUCCACAACCAUGCACGUUAGAACCAAGUACAGUUAAGUGACGGGAGGGAGGCUUUGGUCUAAAAAAUCCCACUGGAUGUUUUGUACCUCCCAAUGUGGUUAUAUCUUCCAGGAUAUACAACAAAUCCUAAAUUUAAGAAAACUGGGGCAAGAAAGUAUUUUUAAUGUCCCUUUUCCUUUUGAGGAUGCCACACCUCCACAAAGCUCAGUCUCGCCGCUCAGGAAAAUGGGGAGGUUGGCUGGGUGUCACCUUUGGGGUUCGGGCUCUGUAUUGUAAGGCAGGAGAAACAUGCUUUAUACGGUUUGGACCAAAUUCACAAUUCUAUGAAGGCA